rnacentral:rRNA from 1 species
AACGAACGCUGGCGGCGUACUUAACACAUGCAAGUCGGACGAGAAAUUCCGAUUCGUCGGGAGAGUAAAGUGGCGAACGGGUGAGUAACACGAGGGUAAUCUACCCUUAAAUUAGGGAUAACCUUGCGAAAGCGAAGCUAAUACCUGAUAAGACUACGAUCUCCAAGGGGAUAGUAGGAAAAGAUGGCCUCUGUUUCAUGCUAUCGUUUAAGGAUGAGCCCUUGCACUAUUAGCUUGUUGGUGAGGUAAUGGCCCACCAAGGCUACGAUGGUUAGCUGGUCUGAGAGGAUGAUCAGCCACACUGGAACUGAGACACGGUCCAGACUCCUACGGGAGGCAGCAGUGAGGAAUAUUGCGCAAUGGGGGAAACCCUGACGCAGUGACGCCGCGUGAGCGAUGAAGGCUUUCGAGUCGUAAAGCUCUGUUAGGUGGAAAGAAACAUUCCAGUGCCAAUACCACU